AGGAUAAACGCUGGCGGCGUGCAUGAGACAUGCAAGUCGAACGGACGAUCAGGGCUUGCUCUGAUCGUUAGUGGCGGACGGCUGAGUAACGCGUAGGUGACCUGCCCCGAAGUGGGGAAUAACUGCCCGAAAGGUUGGCUAAUACCGCAUAUGAUGGUCCUUCUCUGGAGGGACUCUCAAAGGCUUAGGCCGCUUUUGGAGGGGCUUGCGGCCGAUUAGCUAGUUGGUGGGGUAACGGCCUACCAAGGCGACGAUCGGUAGCUGGUCUGAGAGGACGGACAGCCACACGGGGGACUGAGAUACGGCCCCGACUCCUACGGGAGGCAGCAGCUAGGAAUCUUGGGAAUGGGCGAAAGCCUGACCCAGCAACGCCGCGUGGGGAUGAAGGCCUUCGGGUCGUAACCCUUUGCGAGGGAAGAUUAUGACGGUACCUGCGAAUAGCCACGGCUAACUACGUGCCAGCAGCCGC
rnacentral:rRNA from 1 species